rnacentral:snRNA from 1 species
GUGCUCCCAUUAGUAGCAUAUGUACUAAAAGUGGAACAAUACAAAGAUGAGCUUGGUCCCCAUGCAAGGAUGACAGGCAAAUUCAUGUGGCAUUUCACAUUCUU